rnacentral:rRNA from 1 species
UACGUAGGGGGCAAGCGUUGUCCGGAUUUAUUGGGCGUAAAGAGCUCGUAGGCGGUCUGUCGCGUCGGAUGUGAAAGCCCGGGGCUUAACCCCGGGUCUGCAUUCGAUACGGGCAGACUAGAGUGUGGUAGGGGAGAUCGGAAUUCCUGGUGUAGCGGUGAAAUGCGCAGAUAUCAGGAGGAACACCGGUGGCGAAGGCGGAUCUCUGGGCCAUUACUGACGCUGAGGAGCGAAAGCGUGGGGAGCGAACAGG